rnacentral:rRNA from 1 species
AUGGCCCUUAUUGACUUAGGGUGUCUUGCUUUCUGUCGCCCCUUCGGCCCCCUCGAGGCGGCUGCUUGGGACUCCCUCCUCCAAGACGUGGCCCUUAUGCCGAUGAACGUCGAGGAGGACCAGGAUGCCAUUUCUUGGCACCUUGAGCCGUCUGGCCGCUUCUCCACGAAGUCCUUGUACGCCGCCAUCGCGCCCUCGACGGCCCCGAAACCCUUUAGCCUGAUUUGGGACACCCGCCUUCCUCUGAAGAUCAGGAUCUUCCUGUGGCAAUGGAUCCGUGGAUGCCUCCCCUCUGGGGUUGAAGUCCUCAAGCGUGAUGGCCCAGGCAGUGGGAGGUGUCCCAUCUGUGGCACGAUCGAGGAUGCUAACCACAUCUUCUUCUCGUGCUCUACUGCCUAG